rnacentral:rRNA from 1 species
UACUAGAGUAGCACUCGCAUAUCAAUAAGCGGAGGAAAAGAAACUAACAAGGAUUCCCCUAGUAACGGCGAGUGAAGCGGGAAGAGCUCAAAUUUGAAAUCUUAAAGGGUUUCCCUUUACGAAUUGUAGUUUAAAGAAGUGUUUUCUGUUGAGGUUUUGGUAAAAGUUCUUUGGAAUAGGACAUCAUAGAGGGUGAGAAUCCCGUAUUUGACCUUUACUUUCAACUUUGUGAUACACUUUCAAAGAGUCGGAUUGUUUGGGAAUGCAGUCCAAAAUGGGUGGUAAAUUUCAUCUAAAGCUAAAUAUUGGCGAGAGACCGAUAGCGAACAGGUACCGUGAGGGAAAGAUGAAAAGAACUUUGAAAAGAGAGUUAAACAGUACGUGAAAUUGUCAAAAGGGAAGCGUUUGACACCAGUGUUGUUUUUCUGAAAAUCAAUUAAAGAACUGUUUAUGCUAAGCUGUUUAGACUUUAUCAGCUAACUGUUUAGUUUUGAGCUUUUCUUUAAUGCACUUUUCAGUUAACAAGUCAACAUCAAUUUCUUUUGCUGUAAAAAAGCUUGAGGAAGGUGGCUUGAGAUUCGUCUUAAGUGUUUAUAGCCUCUUGCCUAUGCAGUCGGAGAGAUUGAGGUCUGCAGCGUAGAUCCUUCGGGGCUAAAUGCAUUUGUGCUAAGUUAUAGCAUUUUAUAGACAACUUGUUGACUAUGAUUUGUCUUGUAGCUUACUCGCUUAUGUUAUUUUACCUACGCUUAGGAUGUUGAGCGCAUGUCUCUCUCU